GACGAACGCUGGCGGCGUGCCUAAUACAUGCAAGUAGAACGCACAGUUUAUACCGUAGCUUGCUACACCAUAGACUGUGAGUUGCGAACGGGUGAGUAACGCGUAGGUAACCUGCCUGGUAGCGGGGGAUAACUAUUGGAAACGAUAGCUAAUACCGCAUAAUAUUGAUUAUUGCAUGAUAAUUAAUUGAAAGGUGCAAUUGCACCACUACCAGAUGGACCUGCGUUGUAUUAGCUAGUAGGUGAGGUAACGGCUCACCUAGGCGACGAUACAUAGCCGACCUGAGAGGGUGAUCGGCCACACUGGGACUGAGACACGGCCCAGACUCCUACGGGAGGCAGCAGUAGGGAAUCUUCGGCAAUGGACGAAAGUCUGACCGAGCAACGCCGCGUGAGUGAAGAAGGUUUUCGGAUCGUAAAGCUCUGUUGUAAGAGAAGAACGGGUGCGAGAGUGGAAAGUUCACAAUGUGACGGUAUCUUACCAGAAAGGGACGGCUAACUACGUG
rnacentral:rRNA from 1 species